AAGGGGGAGGAGUUAUUCAUAUAUAUAUCAAAGCGUAUUUGGGACGCUCAUCUUAUUUUUUUUUUUUUCUUUUCUUCUUAUGACUAUCCGUACAACCCCCGAUUUGAUGCGUUUGAUGAGCCAUCCCUUUUUGUCUGUACUCAACAUGUUUUUCAGCUCUGUGUCAUUUGUACAGGUCAUGCGAAAUUCUCCCUCUUUUUUUUAUAUUAUUUCCCGGCCCCUUGCUUUGAUGUCUGCAACUAAUUGGCUGCAUUUGGUGGCUCGCUGGCAAGGCGUUGUUGUUAUUGGAGUUGACGACGCUUUUUCUCUUCAUGUUAAUAUCAUAAAGUCUGCGCGGGUUCGGUUUGUUGCAAUGCCCUUUUCUCGUUAUAUUAAAACUUUGAUUUUGUUAUUAUUAUUUUUUUUUUUUUUUUCUCCUGGCUUCUUUCUCCCUUUAUUUACUACAUAGAUCGAAACGGAUUAUUCUGUUUUCCCCCUAUUCGUUUGUGAGAGGUAA
rnacentral:sRNA from 1 species